CAAUGUCAGUGCUGGUGGACACCAGAGCAGGCUGGAAGAGCACCACAGUUAAAGGUAAAGGUCUGUCUGCGUACAUCAAAAGGAGUAAGAACUUCAGAGUUUACAAAAUCCUCUUACAACUAUGGAAUAAUUUGCUUGCCCCUGCAUGGAUGUCUGUGAA
rnacentral:lncRNA from 14 species